rnacentral:rRNA from 1 species
UGGGGAAUAUUGCACAAUGGGCGCAAGCAUGAUGCAGCCAUGCCGCGUGUAUGAAGAAGGCCUUCGGGUUGUAACGUACUUUCAGCGGGGAGGAAGGUGUUGAGGUUAAUAACCUCAGCAAUUGACGUUACCCGCAGAAGAAGCACCGGCUAACUCCGUGCCAGCAGCCGCGGUAAUAAGGAGGGUGCAAGCGUUAAUCGGAAUUACUGGGCGUAAAGCGCACGCAGGCGGUCUGUCAAGUCGGAUGUGAAAUCCCCGGGCUCAACCUGGGAACUGCAUUCGAAACUGGCAGGCUAGAGUCUUGUAGAGGGGGGUAGAAUUCCAGGUGUAGCGGUGAAAUGCGUAGAGAUCUGGAGGAAUACCGGUGGCGAAGGCGGCCCCCUGGACAAAGACUGACGCUCAGGUGCGAAAGCGUGGGGAGCAAACA